GAAUCGUAUCAUGUGACAACAACAAGCGAAGGUCAGAAAAAAAAGAAGGAAGAAAGCAUUGGAAAAGCAUUGAAAAGUUUUCUUAACUACAUCUAAAAAUCUCUUCUAAUGCACUAGCUGCAAUAACAAAGUCACCUCCAGGACAUACUGAGGAGUGGCUGAUUGCUUUCACAAACCAGUUCUAGGCUGUUUCAGUGGUGACUUUGCUGCAAUAUGUCAGAGGACCAAGGAAAAGACUCUCCGUCUGAGACAAGUCUCUCAGAGAAACAGAAUGUAGGAUCAGGCUCACAUGUGUCCAGCUCUAUGUCUGUGAAGAGUGACCAGUCUAAAGAUGGUGGACCGAACUUCAAUGAUGAUACGCCAUUAUUUACCAAAA